AGUGGAUUUUUCUACAGAUUCCUGGCAAAAAUUAAGCAUAUUUUUCUGUGGUGUUUUUCAGUGAAGAUCUGCUUUUGGAAUGUGAAAGGAAGUGAUGGAGGGAGAAGUUGAUUAUCAGAAUCUGCAUGAAAUACUGAGAAAGUCAUAAUGCAAUUCAUCAUGUGCAUCUCUGUGACAUAUGAUCUUUAUUUAUACCACUGUGGGUACUGAACAAGUCCAGCCUUGAGAAUGGGCUUAGAGUUGUGCUCAAAAGCCUGGAAGGCAAUCAGAAGUGAGCUGCUUUGGUUCCACAGCAAAUACAGAAAUAAAGGUAAAUACAGUAAUUCAGAUUAUGCAGGUACCAACAUUCUUCAUGGUCUGUGGCUCUGCCCCUCUGCCCUGCUCUGGUGGGGCCCCACCUGCAGGGUUGCAUCACCUCUGGAAGGACAUGGAUCUGUUGGCACAAGUCCAGAGGAGCACAACAAGAUGAUCAGAGGGAUGGAGCACCUCUCCUGUGAGGACAGGCUGAGAGAAUUGGGAUUGUUCAGCCUGGAACAAAGAAAGCUUUGGGGUGAUCCAAUUGUGGCCUUCCAAUGCCUGAAGGAGCUUACAGGGAAACUGGGGCAGGACUGUCUACAAGAGCAUGUAGUGACAGGACAGGAGGGAAUGAGUUCAACUUGA
rnacentral:lncRNA from 1 species